UGAAUAGCUCAAUCGGCAGAGCAACCGGCUGUUAACCGGUAGGUCGUAGGUUCGAGCCCUACUUCA
rnacentral:tRNA from 1 species